GAGUUUGAUCUUGGCUCAGAUUGAACGCUGGCGGCGGGCCUAACACAUGCAAGUCGAGCGGAUGAGUGGAGCUUGCUCCAUGACUCAGCGGCGGACGGGUGAGUAAUGCCUAGGAAUCUGCCUGGUAGUGGGGGACAACGUUUCGAAAGGAACGCUAAUACCGCAUACGUCCUACGGGAGAAAGCAGGGGACCUUCGGGCCUUGCGCUAUCAGAUGAGCCUAGGUCGGAUUAGCUAGUAGGUGGGGUAAUGGCCCACCUAGGCGACGAUCCGUAACUGGUCUGAGAGGAUGAUCAGUCACACUGGAACUGAGACACGGUCCAGACUCCUACGGGAGGCAGCAGUGGGGAAUAUUGGACAAUGGGCGAAAGCCUGAUCCAGCCAUGCCGCGUGUGUGAAGAAGGUCUUCGGAUUGUAAAGCACUUUAAGUUGGGAGGAAGGGCAGUAAGUUAAUACCUUGCUGUUUUGACGUUACCAACAGAAUAAGCACCGGCUAACUUCGUGCCAGCAGCC
rnacentral:rRNA from 1 species